rnacentral:rRNA from 1 species
AUUGAACGCUAGCGGGAUGCUUUACACAUGCAAGUCGAACGGAGUGGCGGACGGGUGAGUCAUAUAUCGGAACGUGCCCAGUAGCGGGGGAUAACUACUCGAAAGAGUGGCUAUUACCGCAUACUCUUGGAGCGGCCGAUAUCGGAUUAGCUAGUUGGUGGGGUAAAGGCUCACAAAGGCAACGAUCCGUAGCGAGUUUGAGAGGACGACCAGCAACACGGGGACGGAGACACGGCCCAAACUCCUACGGGAGGCAGCAGUGGGGAAUUUUGGAGAAUGGGGGAAACCCUGAUCCAGCCAGCCCGCGUGUAUGAUGAAGGCCUUCGGGUUGUAAAGUACUUUUGGCAGAGAAGCGGUAUCUGCAGAAUAAGCACCGGCUAACUACGUGCCAGCAGCCGCGGUAAUUC